GACAUCGAAAGAACGUAUUUCUUCAGCUUGUUUGGAUGAUUUAACGGAUUCUUACUUGUGUAAAAGUGUAUUAAUUGUUUGGAUAAUUCAACAGGAACCGUCAACAGCGGACUUGAAUACCGGUAGAUGAUGUGCAAGAACAUAGUAUGGUUUUGCAUGCACUCAUACGUCAUCGCUGUAUAAAGGAUGUUAAUCUAAGAAGACAACCCUGCACAUUUGCAGUUGUACAGAUUGUAGUUCAUCUCAUAUGCUGUUAGACAAAAUAAUGAAAGAUGUUCAAAC